AUGAGACCCCCUCCCCAAGACCACCACCAUCCCCUUCAGGUUAAUGAAAUAAGAAAUGGCUGUGGGAACAUCGUUCUAGAGACUCAGCGGAGCUAUCGGUGCUGGAGAUUCCCAAGCUCUGAAGGAUCGGAGAAAGCAGUAUUACACUUAGGAUGCAAAGGAGCCCCAGAUCUUGCCCCCUCUGGUUUGACAAGUCCACAGUGGAAGAGAAGGCUCGGGCAGCUGCGGGUAUCCUCUGGCCUCCUGGUGCUGGGUUUCUGGCUUCUGGGGGCAGCCCAGACAGAAGGGUCCGGAAGUAGGGACCCUGAACAUCUCACUCCCCCAUCACAGCCACAAUCACAUCCGGGAAAACACUGGGGUGAAACCGACGGAGGCCGGCCGUGGGGGUGCGACUGA
rnacentral:lncRNA from 1 species